GAGGGGGAGAAUAAAAAUUGUAUAUCGAAUGAUUUUCAUAAAAAAAAAUUACUGAGUAUAAGUACAAUGUUAUAUGUUAUUAAACAAAUCUAUACGAUAUUGCAAGUAGAAAGGAUCAAUGAUAAGAUAAAAUCAAUAUAUCAAUUAUGAGAGUUUGAAAUGAGGGAAAAAAGAUUUCGAAGAAAAUAAUGAUACAUCCUCGAGACGAACAAGAUAUAUACUUUGGAAGCGAAUGUUCGCGAGGUGAACUUAAAAUAUUUGAGCUUGUUCUAUGUAUAUGUAUAUGUUAUAUAUAUAUAUAUAUAUAUAUAUAUAUAUAUAUAUAUAUAUAUAUAUAUAUACACACAUGAUAUGUAUGUAGGUACAUCUCUGUUGUGUGUAUAUACGUGUGUGUGUACUCGGUCGCAUGCAGACCGGCGGCAGGUGCCUCUCGACGCUUCGAGGUUAUGUCGGCUUUCGCAUUGCGGAACGGCGCACGUGAUCGCGGUGUCGUGACCUGGAAUUUUGAUCCAGUUUUGGUCGGGUUAUGAGCCAAAAAAAAAAACAAAAAAAAUUAUUCGAUCUAUCGAAAUUUGUUUGCGCCAUCUUGGAACGAUUGCGAUUCUCGAAGUGCAUCAUCUUGAGAAAAAAGAAAGAAGAAUACUGAUCAUCGCGCGUUAGUAGCGCUCGACGUUUCAAGAUAUGCCACGUCCUCCGAAGACAUUGUCGACAAUCUCAGAAGCUGAGUCACUCGACGACGGUUAAGCUAUGAGUCAGAGAAAAAGGCGGAGCUAGCUUAUUGCUUAAAGAAUUGUAUUCUGACUGAGAUGGUAUGUAUCGAAAUGUGCGAACAGGUGGGCGGUCUGCAUCGUCGUCGUUGUCGUCGCGUCAUUUAGUCGUAUUAGAUAUCUCUUGUAAUAUUUCCAAAUUAUUCUUUAAAGAAAAGAAAAAAAGGAGAGGAACACAUUUUAUAUGAAAAGAUAAAAAUAAAGUAGAAUGCAAUUUUGAUUGGAAUAAAGAAUUAGCGUAUUAAGAAUUGGGUGCUGGUGUAAAGAGAGAGGGAGAGGGUUCGAAUGUAUUAACUAAUACACAUACGAAUAAUACAUAUGCGAAAUAUUGGAGAUCAUAUCGAAUAAAGCCACGUUGACGUUCUCUAUUCAUCGUUUGCAUCGAAGAAAGCACUUGUGAAAGGUCCUCGGUAAACUAGCGCAGAACAGCUUACACAGAGAGAAAGAGAGAGAGAGAGAGAGAGAAGCAAGCAUAUUGUUCGAUCAUACGAGGAUGAACUUCUUAAACUAGUUACGAUUUGCUAUGAGGACUCGAGAGAGCAGAGUAGUGUCUAGACCUCACCCCAAUAGAACAGGGUAGGAAACAUAAAGGUUAGGUUGUAUUGUAGUAGUGAUACACCGAGAAAACUCUUUUUGCAGAGAGUAGACGAGAGAAAGAGAGAGAGAGAAUACAUACUAUACCUACAUUUACUAAGAACACAAUAUAGAGUUUAUCGUUGUUUGACCUUAUAACUUUAGAUGAAACGAUUGUUAGUUUUAAAUCUUUAAUAGAAUUAUAUUUUAAAUAAGACAAUUAUUUCACAAUUUUGUCUUUUUGCAUCGUUAAUUGAUAGUACAUGAUUAUAUCGAUUAUAUAAUGUGUACUACAAUUGAUGUGUACUUGGUAUUGCAAGUCGUGUUGUGUCAUGUAUGGAAUACCACUGACGUCCACUCGUUGAAUGCGGCCCAUCAAUAAAAGGGCUCUUCGUUACCUGACUACCGGUGAACUAACGAGUGGAUAUCUCUUGAAGGGAGACGCGUCGCGUCGCGUCACGUCGCUGCCAUACGCGCAGCCCUCUCCAAAAUGCACCUAUAAGUGACUUUCUUCUUUUUUCUCUCUCUCUCUCUCUCUCUCUCUCUCUCUCUCUCUCUCUCUCUUCUUUCUUUUUUACUUUACUAACUAUACCUAACCUAUAUUACAUGUGUGUAUGUAUAUAUAUAUAUAUACAUAUAUAAUAUAUACCACAAUUACCAUGUAAGGAUUAUUAAUCCUGAUAAAAAUCAAUGUUAAAUAAUAACUUUUGAAUAUAUUCACGUUAAACUCUUAUUUUUCUUUGUAUCGUAUACAGGGUGGGUCGAAAGUUUAUAAAUGAUUUUUUUUUUUUAUCGAUUGCUCCGUUCCCAUUUUUCGAGACUACAUAAGCUUAUUUUUCUUUUCUAUUACAAAGUCUAAAAAGUCUAAACUACAAGCCUAAGAACUUUUGCUCCACCCUGUGAAUAUAUAUAUAUAUAUAUAUAUAUAUAUAUAUAUAUAUAUACACGAAAUGAUUUUGCGUAAGAUGUGAAAAAUCGUCUGAGAAACAUAUCGAUCAAUCGUUUGACAAAGCAAACAUGGCGCUCGACUCGAUGAUACUCGUGGAUAGAUAUAAACGGUAUGGAAUCUCGAAGCAGUCAGUCUUUGGUACUAUCAGUGUUACCAACUCAUAUACGCGUUCCUCAAAUAUCAUCGGCAUGACUUACGAACACGUAUGUAAUGUAAAUUCGCACAUGCAAAUAUAUACGAGAUAUAGUAGUGACUGUGUAUGGCGCGAUAGCUAUAUGGCGCACGCGAAAUACUAGUUUAAAGAAAAAAAAAAGUUUUAUUUAUUUGAAACGUACAGAAAUCAGAAAUCUUCAAGGAGGAAAGAGAGAGAGAGAGAGAGAGAGAGUGUGUUGAAGCUAUUAUCAAAAUCAAAGAUUAACAUAAGAAGGUUAAAAAACAAGUAUACAUUCAAGAGGGGACGAUUAGCGUAGGUGUUUGAAGCAUGGAACGAUGCAAAUCCGAAGAUCUUCAAAUUCUUCCUCUCCUUCCUUGGCCCACCUCAUUCCCAGGUUCGAAUUCGGACCACCCAAGGCCCAUUUUUCAUAUACCAAAAAAAUAUUUAAAAGUGCAAGAGGGAGAGAAAUUAAUUUACAAAUAAAAAAAAAACAAA